AUGUAUGCUCCUAUCUUAUACAGAUGCAGAGUUCAUCAUUUCUUUAUCAUGGUAAUCAAUCAUUUUUAUAUUUAUUUCCAAUUGGGCGUGCAUAUUGAAUUUAAUAAAAUUCAACAUGAUGUCUUCGUGAUAAAAUCAAAAAGAUGCUAUGUGGAAUCAAAAUCUAGACAAUCCAACAACAUUUGUGCAAGAGAUAAGGGAGAGUAUCAAGCAGCGGGUGGUUAA